CGCUUGCCUAAGGGGUGGUCCCGAUAGGGACCUGAGACGCCGGAUGUGAUCGCUUGCGAUCGCUCAGUCGGCGAACCCGUUGAACCUGAUCCGGUUAGUACCGGCGUAGGGAGCAGGUCGUGCAUUUUCA
rnacentral:ncRNA from 1 species